rnacentral:rRNA from 1 species
GGAGUUAGCCGGUGCUUCUUCUGUGAGUGAUGUCCUUCCUGCCGGUUAUUGACCCGCAGGCCUUCUUCCUCACUGAAAGUGCUUUACAACCCGAAGGCCUUCUUCACACACGCGGCAUGGCUGGAUCAGGGUUGCCCCCAUUGUCCAAUAUUCCCCACUGCUGCCUCCCGUAGGAGUCUGGGCCGUGUCUCAGUCCCAGUGUGGCUGAUCAUCCUCUCAGACCAGCUACGGAUCGUCGCCUUGGUGAGCCGUUACCUCACCAACCAGCUAAUCCGACAUAGGCUCAUCCGAUAGCGCGAGGCCCGAAGGUCCCCCGCUUUCCCCCGUAGGGCGUAUGCGGUAUUAGCCUGGGUUUCCCCCAGGUUAUCCCCCACUACCGGGCAGAUUCCUAUGCAUUACUCACCCGUCCGCCGCUCGCCACCAGGGAGCAAGCUCCCCGUGCUGCCGCUCGACUUGCAUGUGUUAGGCCUGCCGCCAGCGUUCAAUCUAAGCCAGGAUCAAACUCUGA